CUAUUGCAUAGUUCAGCUAGCCCGUUCUUCUCCUGAUGAUCUGAUAGCCUUUCUGCACUCUCAACUGAAGAUUGAGAAUGAGGCUGUUCGUGUGGCAUCUCUGAAUCUGCUCAGAGCUAUUGUUGGUGCUGACUUGCCCGAGACAAGACUGAAAAAGUUGCUGAUUGUGAAGGCAGUGAAAUCCACUUUCAGUG